UACAGAGGGUGCAAGCGUUAAUCGGAAUUACUGGGCGUAAAGCGUGCGUAGACGGUUAUGUAAGUCAGGUGUGAAAGCCCCGGGCUCAACCUGGGAAUUGCAUUUGAGACUGCAUAGCUAGGGUGCGGAAGAGGGAAGCGGAAUUUCCGGUGUAGCGGUGAAAUGCGUAGAUAUCGGAAGGAACAUCAGUGGCGAAAGCGGCUUCCUGGUCCAGCACCGACGUCAGGCACGAAAGCGUGGGGAGCAAACAGG
rnacentral:rRNA from 1 species